GGGUCCGGGGCGGGGCGCUGCAGCCCGCGGAGCCUCCCGGCUGCCCCGGUUGGGGUCGCACCGUCCUGGACUCCCUUACCGACCUGCGGUGGCCAUGGAGGACGAGCGGAAGGACGGAGCCUACGUUGCCCUCUACAAUGCAUCCUCCACACAGCUUAAAGUGUUCCUUGACUUUCCACCUCCAGGACCAAGUUCAAAACCUUGCCACAGCGCCCAGGUCCAGCUGCCAUCUAUUGCCUUGGUGUGUUGUGCUACUUACCUUCCUGCUCCCAGAGCAGCCCCGACUCUGCCUGCCAAUGGUGCUUUUAAAAUGCAGUGUUCCUUCUCACCCCAGGGCCUUUGCACAGCCCUGGAACCUCUUCUCCACCUCUGUGCCCAAGUAUGUCCUUCUCCCUUGCAGCUAAUAAUUCUUCACUAUGUAGCUUAUUAGUGUCUAUCUUCCCACUGGAAUGAAUGCUGCAAGAAGUCAAGGAAUGGAUUCAUUUGGCUCACCGUUUAUCCCCAGAGCCCAAGACAGUGCCUGGCAAACAGCAGGCAGUAAAUGCUUGUUGAAUGACCAAGAAUGCCCGUUAUCUAGCAAUUAAAAUCAUACUGCUUGCUCAAGAGAGCCCAAGCUUGGGCUGAUGCUAAUUCUGCAAGAAACUUUUCAGACGGGUCACUGAAAUAAGGCCAGAUGGGGUGAUGAUGGAUGCCAAUAGAGAUACCAGGACAUAAUAUGCAAUGUUGACUUUUAAAGAGAAUGUUGACUUUCAAAUGACUAGACCCUGUAAUGCCCCCCAGCCCUCACCCACUGCUAACCAGGAUUCAGAUUCCAACAGACGGUUGAUAUUUUGAAGCAGACAGUUUUUUGCACUGGGGGCUCUUCUGCCAUAGUACCCUCUCCUCUCUCCAGGUGGGACAAGCUGAAAUGUCUCCAGACAUUGCCAAAGCCCCGUGGUGGUCAGGAUCAGUUCAGAUCCGGUACCAACAGUGGGCCCCAGUGAUGAGAGCCACAAGCUACUUUCUGCUACACUGUCUUGAUCCAGGAGUUGCAUUCAUACUAUCUAUUUGGGGGGGUCAUCAUCUACUUGAGUAUCUAAUGAAACCUAUUAAUUUUCCAGGGGCAGGAUGGGGCUGUCUAGACAUUCAAGCCCACUUCCUCAAUAUUUAGGAAGAUUUCUGACCCUCUGAAGUCCAUGUAUUCCCCCCCUGACAACCUGCUGCAGAGUUUAUGCACUUUAGCCUAAAAGGCCCUAGUCCAUGAAAGUGGGUGGACUGAGAUCUUCUAGGCAUUUUUUCAUUAAUAGCAUUUAUGGGUGUAUUGUCUUCCUCCUGCAAAGGAAAAAGGAAAAUAGAGCUACACACAGCAAGCAAACAUGUAAGUAAGGCAAUCGGAGGUGGGGAGUGGUGGGGGGAAAGCGAAACCGUGUCUGUUAAAAGGCGGUACCUAUUUUUCAUGCUACAAAAUGCUUUAUGGUAAGUCAAAGUUGGGUGUCAAUUUGACCCGGAGUCAAUGUAAAGGGAGAAACAUAAUCAGCUUAUACAUUCCAUUGUCCUGCAGGAUCCCCCGAGAGGGGGCCACUGUUUUCCCCUCUUUUCUCUCUCUCCCUUCUUCUUUUUUAAAAUCCUCCCCCCUCAUUUCCACAAAAUACAAUUUUAGGUUACUCAGGAGACAAAGUCCAAGCCCAUAGGAAACAGGAUGAAAUAAUUUCAGCUUAGUCCUAAACUAUUUAAUAAGGAGUCCCUAAAUGCCAGUGCAGCUUGGCAGCACCUUCCAGCGUGCUGCCCACCGCGUAGCAGGUGCUAGGCAAAGGGAAUUCUUACUGUUGGAUUAUAGUAAUGGACACAACCACACAGCAAAGUGCAUGUCAGCCAGAGACACCCUACAGGGAGGGAAACCAAGGCUCAGGGAGAGGUGUGGCAGGCUCACAUAGCCGGCAAGCAUCAAGGUUGUUGUUUGGUGCAUAUUAAUAUUCCAGGAAAGCCUCGUAGUGGCCGAAAAGCCUGGCAUGUUCCUGGGAAACAGCACAGACUUUGGGUAGAUGAUCAGUGGAUGUGCAGGGAGUGGAUACAUCUCUCAAAGCCAUGAGAUUCACUUGCCUGCAACCAGAGGCAAGGUAUUUCCCAAGCAGGCAGCCGCACCUUGCUAAGUGCUGGCAUGGGAGCUGGGGGGCAGGAAGCGGCAGGUGCGGAUCCCUGGAGAAAGGCACCUAUUCUUGGACAAAGCAUCCCCAGAGGGCUGGGCCCCUCCUGACCUGGGGCUGUCUCACCACUUUCUCUGCAGGUGAAUGACAUGGGCGCGCACAUACUUAGGAAGCUCCAGGGGCUCAGCAGACACCGAGAAGCUGUGAAACCUGAUUAGAAAUGGAAAACUUAAAAAAAAUUAAACUUGGAGAGUCUAGUUCCCGGAUCAAGACAAUACCCAAUGCCCCACCUCCAAGCUCUUGAGAAAGCAGAAGGAAAGAGACAGGUCAUGUCACCCAACGGGGCACUUGCUAUUUUUUUUAAAUUGUCAUUGUAAGGUGUUAAAUACUAUCUCAUUGUGGUUGUGACUUGCUUAUUCCUGAUGAUGAGGGAUAUAUUGAACAUCUUUUUCAUGUACCUCUGGGCCAUUUGGAUGUCUUCUUUGGAAAAAACGUCGUUCCUCUACUCAUUUUUUAAUCAAAUUUUUUAUUUUCUAGAGUAGAUCUUAAAUGUUCUCAACACAAAAAAGACAUGGUAAUUAUGUAUGAUGGGGACGUGAGCUAACAGUGUGAUGGUAACCAGGGUGCAGUAUAUAAAUGUGUCAACCUACACAAUGUUUUAAGUCCAUUUUAUCUCAAUAAAACCAGAGAGGAAAGAUGUAAAAAGCUAACCUUUUCAAACAAUAAGGCUUCUCUCUCACUUACCAACUUCACAUUUCCCUGUAUGGCCCCGGAAGAUGACUGGUUAGCCAGAGACAGGUAAGAUUCCUCAAGGGAGGAACAACCUAAGACAGGCACAGUCGCAGGGGGGCCAUCAGGUGAGAAAUUGGGGAUCAACAGAGGUGAGGCUUAGAACCUCACCCCCCCUGUUCUGAGAGAAAUCUUCUGCAUACGUGGAUGUUUUAUUGCCCUGGUCUAGCUUGGAUUAACACAUAGUCUACAGGCACACACCUGAUCAUCUACAUUUGCUCUCUUACAACACUAAACUAUGUUUUCUACCUUUAUCUUGUAUCUACCUACCACUUCAGCAUUUUAUUAAAAAUAAUAAAAAUAGAGAAAUGUAGUAUCCACACAUAAAUCAAGUAUAAAAACCAAAUGAGUAUUCAUAUUUGAACUGACUGUUUAGAGUUCAUAAUGCAUGAGCAAAACUGAAAGUUUCUGUGAUGACUGCCCUUGUACUGUUCACUAUGUAACUUAUUCAUUAUGUAAGAAUUUGUUCUCCAUGUAAGAACUUGUUUGUUAUGCCUCAGAAGAUUGGAGACUGACGAAAAUUAGGCUUGGGGUGGAUUAAUGAUUGUGCAUUGAGCAUUGACUCCCCUAUACAGAAUUUUACUGUCGUUAACAAUCAUUUGAUCAAUAAAUAUGAGAGAUGCCCUCACAAAAAAAAAAAAAAAAGGACAGACUUCCAAUGGUAAAAUAAAUUAGUAACCGGGAUGUAAUGUAUAGCAUAAGGAAUAUAGUCAAGAUAUUGUAACAGCCUGGUAGGGUGAUAGCUGGAACCUCGAAUUAUGUAUAUAAAUGUUCUACCACUGUGUUGUACACUUGAAACUAAUGUAAUGUAAUACUGUGCGUCAACUACCCUUCAAUAAAAAAUAAUUAUUAUAAAAAAAAAAAAAAAAAAAAAAAAACCAGAGAGGAAAAGAAGACCUCGAUCAUGUUGAGAAAUGGAAAACUCAUGGUUGGGCCCAGCGUCCAGAGAGAAUGGAGAAGCAGGAAGCUCAGGAGUAUGCAUGACAUUAAGGGACUGGCCAAACCCCUGUCUACUGGUGGGGAGACCCAGGCUGGGGGUGUGUGGGGUAGUGAGACCCUGUAGCUAUUCUGGGGAUGUCCCUUCUGUGGAAGAGGGGUGCAUCUGCCUUUUUCCUUGGAGAAGUCAAAAUGAGCCUUUAAAAUGGAAUGAGAAACUUCUUCUUACUCCUUUCAAUUAUGAUAUUGACUGUUUCCCGUGGAGUAGCAAAGCCCCCCAUCUGUGA